GACGAACGCUGGCGGCGUGCUUAACACAUGCAAGUCGAGCGGGGUUGAAGCGAGGGGUAACUCGAGUUUCUACCUAGCGGCGGACGGGUGAGUAACGCGUGGGCAACCUGCCUCAAGGACUGGGAUAACAGCUCGAAAGGGCUGCUAAUACCGGAUAAGCCUAUGGCCUCGCAUGGGGCCAUGAGCAAAGGGGAAACCCGCCUUGAGAUGGGCCCGCGUCCCAUCAGCUAGUUGGUGAGGUGAAGGCUCACCAAGGCGACGACGGGUAGCCGGCCUGAGAGGAUGACCGGCCACACUGGGACUGAGACACGGCCCAGACUCCUACGGGGGGCAGCAGUGGGGAAUCUUGCACAAUGGGCGAAAGCCUGAUGCAGCGACGCCGCGUGAGCGAAGAAGGCCUCGGUUGUAAAGCUCUGUCUGGAGGGACGAAGGAAGUGACGGUACCUCCGGAGGAAGCCACGGCUAACUACGUGCCAGCAGCCGCGGUAAUCA
rnacentral:rRNA from 1 species